rnacentral:rRNA from 1 species
AACGGUAACAGGUCUUCGGAUGCUGACGAGUGGCGAACGGGUGAGUAAUACAUCGGAACGUGCCCGAUCGUGGGGGAUAACGGAGCGAAAGCUUUGCUAAUACCGCAUACGAUCUACGGAUGAAAGCAGGGGACCGCAAGGCCUUGCGCGGACGGAGCGGCCGAUGGCAGAUUAGGUAGUUGGUGGGAUAAAAGCUUACCAAGCCGACGAUCUGUAGCUGGUCUGAGAGGACGACCAGCCACACUGGGACUGAGACACGGCCCAGACUCCUACGGGAGGCAGCAGUGGGGAAUUUUGGACAAUGGGCGAAAGCCUGAUCCAGCCAUGCCGCGUGCAGGANNNAGGCCUUCGGGUUGUAAACUGCUUUUGUACGGAACGAAAAGACUCCUUCUAAUAAAGGGGGUCCAUGACGGUACCGUAAGAAUAAGCACCGGCUAACUACGUGCCAGCAGCCGCGGUAAUACGUAGGGUGCAAGCGUUAAUCGGAAUUACUGGGCGUAAAGCGUGCGCAGGCGGUUAUAUAAGACAGAUGUGAAAUCCCCGGGCUCAACCUGGGAACUGCAUUUGUGACUGUAUAGCUAGAG